ACAGCUGGAGCUCAGUGGCAGAGUGCUUGCCUAGCAAGUGUGAGGCACUGGGUUCUCUCCUUAGUAGCUGUUCCACAUGAAAAAAUAAACAAAUAAAAUAAAGGCAUGAUGUCCAUCUGCAACCACAAAUUUUUUUUUUUUAAAAGAAGCUAUUAAAAAAAAAUUCAGUGCUGGCCUAAUACAAGAGGCCCUGAGUUCAAUUCCCAGAACUGAA
rnacentral:tRNA from 1 species